GGGGAAUAUUGCACAAUGGGGGAAACCCUGAUGCAGCAACGCCGCGUGAGUGAUGACGGUCUUCGGAUUGUAAAGCUCUGUCUUUAGGGACGAUAAUGACGGUACCUAAGGAGGAAGCCACGGCUAACUACGUGCCAGCAGCCGCGGUAAUACGUAGGUGGCAAGCGUUGUCCGGAUUUACUGGGCGUAAAGGGAGCGUAGGUGGAUAUUUAAGUGGGAUGUGAAAUACUCGGGCUUAACCUGGGUGCUGCAUUCCAAACUGGAUAUCUAGAGUGCAGGAGAGGAAAGGAGAAUUCCUAGUGUAGCGGUGAAAUGCGUAGAGAUUAGGAAGAAUACCAGUGGCGAAGGCGCCUUUCUGGACUGUAACUGACACUGAGGCUCGAAAGCGUGGGGAGCAAAC
rnacentral:rRNA from 1 species